rnacentral:rRNA from 1 species
GACGAACGCUGGCGGCGUGCCUAAUACAUGCAAGUAGGACGCAGUUGCGAACGGGUGAGUAACGCGUAUGUAACUACCUAUUAGAGGGGGAUAACUAUUGGAAACGAUAGCUAAUACCGCAUACUAGUAGAUGGACCUGCGUUGUAUUGGGUAGUAGGUAGGGUAAUGGCCUACCUAGGCAACGAUACAUAGCCGAGUUGGGAGGGUGGUCGGGCAACAUGGGAAUGGAGCAAGGGCCAGACUCCUGAGGGAGGGAGCAGUAGGGAAACUUCGGCAAUGGGGGGAACCCUGACCAAGCAACGCCGCGUGAGUGAAGGAGGGUUUCGGGUCGUAAAGCUCUGUUGUUAAGGAAGCGGUACUUAACCAGAAAGGGACGGCUAACUACGUGCCAGCAGCCGCGGUAAUUC